GAUGAACGCUGGCGGCGUGCCUAAUACAUGCAAGUCGAGCGAACGGACAAGAAGCUUGCUUCUCUGAUGUUAGCGGCGGACGGGUGAGUAACACGUGGAUAACCUACCUAUAAGACUGGGAUAACUUCGGGAAGCCGGAGCUAAUACCGGAUAAUAUUUUGAACCGCAUGGUUCAAAAGUGAAAGACGGUCUUGCUGUCACUUAUAGAUGGAUCCGCGCUGCAUUAGCUAGUUGGUAAGGUAACGGCUUACCAAGGCAACGAUGCAUAGCCGACCUGAGAGGGUGAUCGGCCACACUGGAACUGAGACACGGUCCAGACUCCUACGGGAGGCAGCAGUAGGGAAUCUUCCGCAAUGGGCGAAAGCCUGACGGAGCAACGCCGCGUGAGUGAUGAAGGUCUUCGGAUCGUAAAACUCUGUUAUUAGGGAAGAACAUAUGUGUAAGUAACUGUGCACAUCUUGACGGUACCUAAUCAGAAAGCCACGGCUAACUACGUG
rnacentral:rRNA from 1 species